rnacentral:rRNA from 5 species
UGCCCUUGACUCUGGGAUAAGCCUGGGAAACUGGGUCUAAUACCGGAUAUGACUUCUCAUCGCAUGGUGGGGGGUGGAAAGCUUUUGUGGUUUUGGAUGGACUCGCGGCCUAUCAGCUUGUUGGUGGGGUAAUGGCCUACCAAGGCGACGACGGGUAGCCGGCCUGAGAGGGUGACCGGCCACACUGGGACUGAGACACGGCCCAGACUCCUACGGGAGGCAGCAGUGGGGAAUAUUGCACAAUGGGCGCAAGCCUGAUGCAGCGACGCCGCGUGAGGGAUGACGGCCUUCGGGUUGUAAACCUCUUUCAGUAGGGAAGAAGCCCUCUUUUGGGGGUGACGGUACUUGCAGAAGAAGCGCCGGCUAACUACGUGCCAGCAGCCGCGGUAAUACGUAGGGCGCAAGCGUUAUCCGGAAUUAUUGGGCGUAAAGAGCUCGUAGGCGGUUUGUCGCGUCUGCUG